GCACUCGAGCCGUACGGCAGUUUGCCCUUGUCACCUUGUGCUUGUGUCCCGAGUCCCGACCGAGUUCAACCGAUCCCGCAGACCACUCGUUCCUUCCCCAACUAUCGUUAGGCUUCUCCACCCCGCCCUCCCCGCCCUCCCCGCCGAACGCGCCUCACUCUCCCUCCAUGCAGAUCAAUGCGUCCUUCCACCCCAACCGUGCUCCUCGCCCUUCUCUCGUCGUCCUCGUUCCCCCUAGACUGGCGUGGAGUGAAGAUCCAUCCGGACUCCGAUUGAUUUCUUCUCCUGCUGAAGAAACGGAGAGAUUCGGCCAAGAUUGGGAUCAAUCUGCGCAUGGGUCGGUAUCGUAUAAGAACGUAUAGGUUGCUGUCGCUCAAUCUGGAAAUUUUGUAUUGUUAUGACCACCGUACAAUUUUCUCCAAUAUAAUUAACGACGUUUCAUGUUGAUAUGUUCUGAAUCCGUUCUUUGUUUUGCUGAGGUCCCAACGUUCACCUGUAUGCGCAGUUGCAGGUGAUCAAGAUCCAAUACUUGAAAAUAGGAUGUUGACAUGUUACUGUUUAGAUGACACCAGAUGAUAAUGCCCUUAUAGCUCUCAAAAAAGGCAGUAAACUUAUCAAGUAUAGUAGGAAGGGAAGACCCAAGAUUCGUGAGUUCAGACUUUCUAGUGAUGAAACAUCAUUGGUUUGGUAUUCCCAUAGCAAAGUGAAGUACCUUGUACUGUCUUCUGUCUCUAGAAUCAUUCCUGGACAAAGAACUGCUGUAUUUAGGAGGUUUUUACGCCCUGAGAAGGACUACCUAUCAUUUUCUUUGAUAUACAAGAACGGACAACGUUCCCUUGACCUGGUUUGCAAGGAUCAAGCAGAAGUUGAGGUCUGGUUUUCAACGCUUGAGGCACUUAUUACUUCAUGCCGUAAAAGUUAUUCAGCUGAUGGUCCAAGUGAUAGAUUAUCAGUUUCUGACGAAGUAUCACAUUACCAAGAUACUUUUCAUGAUACAACACUAGAUAUUGCAUCGAGUAUCACACGUACUUUUAACUCAGCAAAAACAGAUGUUGUAUCUGAUCGUGCAAAUAUGCUAAGAGCAAGUACAGACAGUAGCCGGCUUAGUAUUUCCAGUGCCCCUAGUUCUUCAAGUCAAGGUUCUGGACAAGAUGACAUUGAAUCCCUUGGUGAUGUUUAUGUGUGGGGUGAGGUGUGGACUGAUAUGAUCCCUGCAGAAGGAUCCGCAAACUAUUUGUGCUCCAAAGCAGACAUUUUAAUUCCCAAACCACUUGAAUCAGAUGUUGUCUUGGACGUACAACAGAUAGCGUGUGGUUAUAGGCACAUUGCACUCACUACUAGGCAAGGAGAAGUAUUUGCAUGGGGCGAAGAACUUGGCGGACGACUUGGUCAUGGGACCGAUGCAGAUAUUAGCCGUCCUAAACUUGUCGAAGCCUUAGCAGUGUCAAAUGUAGAAUAUGUUGCGUGCGGCGAGUUCCAUACUUGUGCUAUAACUGCCUCUGGUGAUUUGUACACUUGGGGUGAUGGAUACUACAAUGCUGGAUUGCUUGGACAUGGUGCUGGAACUAGUCACUGGCUUCCAAAACGAGUCUCAGGACCUUUAGAAGGGGUUCAGGUAUUGUCUGUUUCAUGUGGUUCAUGGCAUUCAGCACUGACCACAUCAAGUGGUAAAGUGUUCACCUUUGGUGAUGGGACAUUUGGUGCCCUUGGACAUGGGAAUCGUCAUACUGUCGCAUAUCCAAAGGAAGUCGAAACUUUGAGUGGAUUUAGAACAAUAAAAGUUGCCUGUGGACUCUGGCAUUCUGCAGCGAUUGUGGAGACCACUAAUCAGGCAGGUGUGAAUGUGAUAUCCAGGAAGCUAUUUACCUGGGGUGCUGGUGAUAAGAAUCCCCUAGGUCACGGGGAUAAAGAUGCUAGGCUAGUUCCUACUUGUGUUCAAUCUCUCAUUGAUUAUAAUUUCCAUCAGGUAGCUUGUGGACAUAGUAUGACCAUUGCCCUUUCUACAUCUGGUCAUGUUUUCACAAUGGGCAGCUCUAGCAAUGGCCAGCUUGGGAAUCCAAAAUCUGAUGGUAAACAUCCUACCCCAGUACAAGAUAGGCUGGCUGGAGAAUUGGUUGAAGAGAUCUCAUGUGGCUCAUGCCAUGUUGCAGUCUUGACUUCACGAAGCGAAGUAUAUACAUGGGGAAUGGGAGCCAAUGGGAGGCUGGGACAUGGUGGUGUUGAAGAUAAGAAAAAACCAACUCUUGUGGAAGCAUUAAAAGAUCGUCACGUUAAAAGUAUAGCAUGUGGUUCUAAUUUCACGACCUGCAUUUGUAUACAUAAGUGGGUUUCAGGUGCUGAUCAGUCUGUCUGCUCAGGUUGUAGGCAACCAUUUGGCUUCACAAGAAAGAGACAUAAUUGUUACAAUUGUGGGCUUGUUCAUUGCCAUGCAUGUAGUUCAAAAAAAGUUCUGAAAGCUGCUUUGGCACCAACUCCUGGCAAACCACAUCGCGUAUGUGAUUCAUGCUUCAUGAAGCUUAAGGCAGCGGAGACCAGCAGCAACAGCUCACAUAGCAAAAGAAAUGCCAUUGCUCGUCGCUCUGUUGAUAGCAAAGACAGGUCAGAGAGACCAGAAAUAAGGUCUUCCAGGCUUGCAACUGGAUCAACAGCAGAACCACUCAAGCAAGCUGAGCUGAAAGCAGUUAGAAACGAGAUAAAACCAGAUCCUAUGUCCACGAUGAGGGCACCCCAAGUUCCUUCCAUGCUACCUUUUAACAAUCUUGCUUUUGGCGCAACAUUUGGUGGUCCAGCUAGUCUGAAGCCCAUGACAAUGGCUCCAAUGCCAAUGGCCAUGCCUAUGUCACCAGCUCCUCUCACAAAGAAGCCAACUCCAGCAGCAGCAACUCCUCUUUGUGGUAAAAGUGAUACCGAUAACUUGAAGAUGGCUAAACAGGUGCUGAAUGAAGAUAUCUCAAAGUUGCAAUCUCAGGUUAAUAAACUGAAACAAAAAUGUGAUGCCCAAGAAGAGCAACUGCAGAAAGCGGAAAGGAGAGCUGAACAUUCUGCCUCUACAGCUGCAGAAGAGUCUUCAAGGCGUAAUGGUGUCUUGGAGUUCAUUAGGUUCCUUGACAAUGAGUAUCAACUAUCAAGACUUCUAUACUCCAGUUAAAAAUACAAAUAGAGCUCAAGAGCAUCGCAGAUAGGGUGCCCAGCGACGCUGCCGACGGCUUAAAAGCCUUGCAAAACCAUUCGGAGAGGUUUCUCACAGAACAAGGUGUUCGUCCACUGGAAGCCACAGGUAUGCAUCGUAAGUGCGCAAGCAUAGGCAACCUCGUAAUGUCUCAGGACGGCAGUGCUGGAAACGCGAGCAGCUCGGCUGCUUCCUUGGCGAGCGAGUCUCCAUGCCACCGUAUCAUGGAGAACAGCUCGAGAGCUAACGGCGACUUAGCACCGAAGCUCGGUGGUACCCAUGGAGAAGUGCAGCUGAUUGAGCAGUUUGAACCGGGGGUGUAUGUGACGCUCAUCCAGCUUAGAGAUGGCACUAAGGUGUUCAAGCGUGUCCGGUUCAGCAAGAGGAGGUUUGCGGAGCAGCAGGCCGAGGAAUGGUGGAGGGAGAACCAGGAGAGAGUGUUCAGGAAAUACAACCACCCGGCCAACUAACCAGCCUCACCAGACUUCACCAUUGGACACUUCAAGAAGAAGGCAAAGUUUUCUUCAUGUUGCUUGGGGCAUUGCUCCUGCGGCUGUGUGCCGUGGGCCUGUGGCGAUGUAGAAUUAGGUUGUGGAUGGGGAAGAUGCUGAUGUAGAUUCUCAUUCUGUUGUUGUUUACCUCCUACAGUUUACCCUUUCUCUAGCUCACCUCCUACAGUUUACUGUUUCGCAGUUUUGAUAUCUCAAAUUAUUCAUUCAACAGCCGUGUGUUUGGUUGGAA